GCUAGUAAUCGCGGAUCAGCAUGCCGCGGUGAAUACGUUCCCGGGCCUUGUACACACCGCCCGUCACACCAUGGGAGCCGGUAAUACCCGAAGUCAGGUAGUCCAACCUCGUGAGGACGCUGCCGAAGGUAGGAUUGGCGACUGGGGUGAAGUCGUAACAAGGUAGC
rnacentral:rRNA from 1 species